AGCAGCCGCGGUAAUUCCAGCUCCAAUAGCGUAUAUUAAAGUUGUUGCAGUUAAAAAGCUCGUAGUUGAAUUUCGGGAUUUGUCAGUUGGUCGGGCUUCACUGUCCGUAUUGACUUGAUGGAUUCUUACCUUCUGAAUAACCAGCAUGCUAUUAAGUUAGUGCGUUGGGGAAGCAGAUCUAUUACCUUGAAAAAUUAGAGUGCUUAAAGCGAGCUAGUGCUUGAAUAGAUUAGCAUGGAAUAAUAAAAUAGGACGGCAUGGUUCUAUUUUGUUGGUUUCUAGGAUCACCGUAAUGAUUAAUAGGGAUAGUUGGGGGCAUUAGUAUUCAAUUGUCAGAGGUGAAAUUCUUGGAUUUAUUGAAGACUAACUUCUGCGAAAGCAUUUGCCAAGGAUGUUUUCAUUAAUCAGGAACGAAAGUUAGGGGAUCGAAGACGAUCAGAUACCGUCGUA
rnacentral:rRNA from 1 species